rnacentral:lncRNA from 1 species
CAUUGGUUCAUUGUUAAGUGAAAAUUGCGACAGUAACUUUCGCCAUCUCGAGGUCCGUGGGUAGCACUGUACUGAAGUAAAAAAAAUAACACAUAAUUUAAUAAUUACAAUUCAAAACUCGCGAAAAUCUGAUUGAAAUUUAUCCUGCACCCAUUAUUUAUUUAUUUUAUUUUUUUAAACUCCCUCGAUGCCAUCGUGACAAAAUUUUAUUAGCUAUGUAUUUUGAGGUGUCUGAUCAUUUUUUUUUAAAUUUAACAGCAGUAAUUUUGCCAAUAAACGAGAAUAAAGGGAAAAUAUGUACUCCGAAUAUUAAUAGAGAUAAAAGUCUAAUCAUGCCACAAUAAAACUAAUUUAAGGACAAAAGUAAAAGAUAUCUAAUUAAAAUAUGUACUCCAAAUAUUUAUAGAGAGAAAAAUUUAACUAUACCACGAUGAAACUAAUUUAGGGAUAUCAGUAAAAAAAUCCAUAAUUCUCUUUAUUUCGAUGCAUGGGUGGAUGGAGCAUGUGACCAGUGGGGGCCAAAAAAAAAAUUGUAAAAUAAAAGAGAAAAAUAUUUUUAUUUUCUAAUUAACCCUCAUUAAAUUUAUUAAAAUAGUCACUAUAAAUUAUAAAUCCCAUAAAAUUUAAACUUUAGCUUUCAAGAAUUAUAAAAAUCUAUAUUUUAAUUAAAAAUAAUGAUAGCCCACCACCCAAAAUAUUUUCUAUUCUCAAAAAUUGGAUUAAUUCUUUUAUUUUCUAUAAUAAUAGUAAAGAGAACGUUUUCAGUAAUGAAACUCAUGAAGAAUCAUCUUUGGAAUUGGAUGAGAUAAAUGAUAGUUUGGUUGUUUAUAUAGGAAAUAAUAAAUUUAAUAAUAUUGAUGACGAGUCGAACAUAACAUUUUUAAAAUAUGAAAUUCCGUAGAGAAUAAUUAUAAAUGUAUUAACAAAUAUUUUAUAUAUUCAAAAUUUUAUUUUUAUAUUUUACUAUUAUCUAAUUUAGUCCCCGAUAAAUUAUUCUUUUAGAUCCGCCACUGUUUCAAUGGCCAUUUUAUCCAAUUUCUCAACAAAAAAUUAGGAAAGAUCCAAUCACAUUUCGGCCACCAACAAAUCCCUUUUUUAAGAGGACCGAUAUGACAUUUGGCGUCACCAUCAAACAGCUAGAGACCAAGUUUCCAAAUAUGUAAAAUUGAUUAAUACGCUGGGGUUUGGGUAACAAGCAUUUUCUAUCUAUAAUCAAAUAGAUGAACAUUAGCUAGGGAUUUGGUCACAAUAUUUCUCCCAUGUGCGCCAUCUAUAUUAGAGUCUAUAUAUGUGAUGGAAAAAGCAGGAACCUGCAUUUACAGAGAUUAAACAACGCAACAUUCUUCGAUCUUCGUUAAAAUAAAAGCCAUCACCAACUGAGAAACAUCACUGCCAUGGACGAAGAAACCACAAAAAAGUUUGAAUGCCCGAGUGCGAUUUUUCCUUUUUGUUUCAACUCGGUCCCUGAAUUCAUCGCUUUAUCUUAUGCUUCAGUUAAAACCGAGCUUUCUCGUUCAGUUUAUGUUGAUUCUGUUGCCCUUCUGCUCACGUUUCUUAUUCUUUUCGCUUCCAAACUCAUCUCCCACAAACAUCCAUUGGCUUCCCAAGAUCAGUUUGUUGCCCAAGAAGCAUACUUCACCCCUGGUAGAUAAGAAACUAUCUCCAUGACUUGGGAAGCAAAUGGAUGUUUUUGGGAGAUCAGUCUGGAAACGAAGAGAAUAAGCAACGUGCGCAGUGUUGGGAAAAAUCAGGUUUUUAAAAUUUUUAUAAAACCUUUUGAAGAUCGUUCUCAUAUAAUAUAUAAGAAUUUGUAUUCUAGAAAUCGUACCUUGAAAAUCCGAGUUGGCUUUUUCCACUGAAGUGAUUUAGGCUCCUAGAUCACGAUCCGCCACCACCACUCCUGUUAGAUCACGAUCCGUCACCACCACACUUGUUAGAUCACGAACUGUCACCAAUGAUCUUCCAAGUUAUGACUCAGGUUCGAUCUGCACUUGACGUGUGGGCGCCUUUAUCACUACCAAAGCAACUAGCACGAGAAAAUUUUUUUUCUCAAUAAUGGAGAGAAAAAUCUUAUUCUCUGAUUUGUAUAAAGUGGCUUCUGCUUUUUUCUUUAGGGAAAAAUAAGCCUUUUAUAUCACCCUUUAGUGAAAACCCUAGGCUCCAAGAAUGCUCAAAAUAAAACUCACGUUGUUUUCUUUUUCAAUAGGGGACCCACCUUGUAAAAUAACAUAAGGCCCCUUACAUAUAAGCUUAUUAAAUGGAGCCUCCCACUAAAUGAUAUAUUUAGGCUUUUGACCCAAAUAGCUAGUUAUCUUGCUUAUUAGUCCAGUAGUGGUGCAGUCAAUUAAAUGAGCUAACCCGGGGAUCAUUUGGGAACAUACAAUAGUGGCUACAAUAAUUAGGCCUGUAAUUAAACUAGCCCAAUUAUUUAAUUCCAAAUCUACUCCACUAAAAGAUUGGAACUGACUUCCAUAAUUGUAUGCUCGAAUAAUAAUUCGUCCCAAGCCACAUUGAUUUCUUUACUGCACAAUCCUUUGUACCACAUCGUUAAUUAAAUUGAUAUCUCAACUGUCCAAUCAAUUUAAUAACAUCUUAUUCCUUGAUCCUUACUGGUUUUCUCUAAUGAUCAUUUUCAACAUACUAAAUAUGUUGACACACUCUGGCCAGAGAAUUCUAUGAUCAAGUGCCGAAAACCUAUCAAGAGAUGUGUUGUACAAAUUCUAUAUUGUUAAUCCAUAACUCCAAUACUCAUAAUUGCUCCCACCAAGAUACCGGGUAAUCUUGACCACAAGGAUGUGUCGUGCCCAUUGGUAACUCAAAUGAAAUAACAAUCACAAUCAUGAAAUCAUAAUUAACUCAAGAUUAAGAUUACAGUAAAAUCAACGCCUAUGAGAUUUAAUAAGUUUGACAGUUAUUACAAAGUUAAUUAAAUCUCAUAUGUGAUCAUGUUCAAUGUAGUCGUACUACAUCAAUAAAUUCAUACAUGAUUAAGACAAAUCAUUCAAUGAAUUUAUUACAGUCUAUACCUAAAUAAAGUGCCCAACUUUAUUUAUCAACUGCGAACUAAAUUUAUUUAAUCAUAAGAUAACUUGUAUUUAUGUCUUCUGUGAAUCCACAUGGUGAUCACAUAAAUACAUAUAAUAUGAUUAAAUGGACUUUAAUACAAAUAUUAAUGCAAUUAAAAUAUUUGAAUAAAAUACCUCAUUUAUUUUAUUAAUCAGAAAAAUUGUUUAUUACAAUUAAAUAAACACAUAUGCUUUUAAAGAGCAUAUUUUCCCAACACGCAGAAGGGCAAAAGAAAAAACAUAAACUGAAGGAGGAAGCUCGGUUUUAACUGGAACAUAUAUAGAAUAAAGCCAUGAAUCCAAGGGUCAAGGUGAAACAUAAAGGAAAGAUCACACUCGGCCAUUCAAACGGUUCAGUGCUUUCUUCAUCCAUGGCUGUAAUGUUGGUUAGUUGGUGAUGGCUAUGAUGCAAAUACAGAUUGAAGAAUGUGUUGUUUAAUCUCUAUAGACGCCGGUGCUUUUCUGUCAUAUUUAUAUAUGUAAACCCAACCAAAGACAUUUAAUUUGCCUAUAUUCUUUCAAGUCCAUAAAGAUCCUAUUUCAAAAAAAUUAAAAAAAAUAAAAUUAACCUAGAAAAAGGAAAGGAGUAAUAACUUGUACGAAACAAAAUAUAAAAUUCACUGGACAAAAUUAAAGGUAAUAACUAGCAUAUACAUGAUAUUAUCAUUGCUUGAUUUUGUAGGAGGCAUGACAGUUUCUCUUAAUUAUGAAUAAUGACAAUAUCAUUGCCAUCUUUUUUCUGGUUUUUCAUUUUUUUCCUUUUUUUUUUUUUUUUGAAUCCUACCGAUCAAAAGUCAAAUUAAAUUCUAAAUAAAUUUGGGGUGGAUACAAUUGAAUUUUCAACCAUCAAAUACUUUUUGGCUUGCUUUCACAUUAAUUUUCAAAUUAAUUUUACCAGAUUUUAAUUUGAUCAGUUGUUUAUAUAAUUAUAUUACCUCCUAUACUGCUCAUUCGUUCGACCUUCGAAGCCUUUUGUCUAUAUAUAUUUUGUAUAUCUACGUCUAAACACACAAUGAAAUCGCAUAAUUAAGAAAGGAGUAAUACACGAAACAAAAUAUAAAAUUCAUUGGACAAAAUUAAAGUCCAAUAACUAGUAUAUACAUGAUAUCCUCAUUAAUUUGCUUGAUUUUGUAGGAGGCAUAGCAGUUUAUCUUAAUUAUGAGUACUGAUAAUAUCUUUGCUCAUCUUUUUUUAGGUUUUUCCUUUUCUUUCUUUUGGAUACUGCCGAUCAAAACUCAAAUUAAAUUCUAAUUAAAUUUGGGAUGCAUGCUUCGAAUUGAAAUCUCAACCAUCAAUACUUUUACCCUUGCUUUCACAUUAAUUUUCAAAUUAAUUUUAUCAUAUUUAAAUCUGAUUAAUUGUUUAUGUUACCUCCUUUACUGCUCAUUCAUUCGGGCUUCGAAGCCUUUGUGUGUGUGUGUGUGUGUGUGUGGUUAUUUUGUAUAUCUAUGUCUACACACAAAAUGAAAUCACAUAAUUAUGGUCAUAGCAUAGAAUUAGACUAAUUUGAGAGAGAUAGAUCUGCGACUAUGGCAUAAAUUCUCCGAUUGAUCCAAUUUUCAAUUCUCAUUCAAAUUAAAGUACGCAUUUUUUUAAAAUUUGUUUUAGUAAUUACUUUUGCUUUUCUUUUUAAAUUUGUUUUAUUAAUUGCUUUUGCUCUUCUUUAAUUUAUAUAUAUGUGAUAUGUCUUUUGUUGUGGUAAGUGGUAUAUGUAAUUGUUCGUUUUGCAGGCUCUGAAUUAAUUCAAGUUUUUGACGCGGUACUGGCCAUGGAGGUGCGUUUCCUUUCUCCCUAUAGGUUUUAAAAAAAUAAUUAAUUAAUUCCACAAAAUAUAACUCAAUAGCAGAAAAUGUUUCCUAUUUUUCUAUAGUUAUUUUCUUGAGAGAAAAUAAAAUAAAAUAACAGACACCCAAGAAUUGCUUUAAUGGGUUAAUUAGAACCUUUCGGGUUCAUAAAUAGUCACAUGAACUGCUUAAUUUGAUAUAACAGUAAAAAAUUGAUUUCAAUACUAAAAAAUGAAAAUUAUUCUUGCAAAUGUUAAAUUUAACAGGAAACCAAAAGAAGAAAGUUGAAGUCAAAUGUUUGGGAUGAGUUCAGAAAGUAUAAAGGACAAGAUGGAAUGGAAUGGUCUAUAUGUAAUAUUUGCGAAAAGGAGUUGGAUGGUUCAAGCAAGAAAGGAACCACACAUCUCAAGAAUCAGUUGGUGUCAAAGAAAAGCCGAGAUAAGAGAAAAGGUGAUAAAAUUAAUAUUGGUGGUGAUCAAGAUAAAUCAAUCAAACAGGAGAUUUAGAUGAUAAUAUUAAACACACACCUUUAAUGCCGAAGGAAAUAUUACCGAGGAUCUUUGUUUUCUAAACUUCAAAAAGGUUGAAAUACUCCAAGUCUACCAAGAAGAGAAGAUAAAAUUUGGCCAUUUUCUUAGUAAACUGUCAUGUCGUUUUAGUUUAGAAAAAAAUAGAGUUGAAGAUGAGUAUUUUCUCGUGAAAUUAACUACACUAUAUUGAUGAUAG